rnacentral:snRNA from 1 species
GGAUGUGAGGGAGAUCUGGCUGCGACAUCUGUCACAGCAUUGAUCGCCAGGGUUGAUUCAGCUGAUCUGGCUGGCUAAGCGGGUGUCCCCUUCCUCCCUCACUGCUCCAUGUGCAUCCCUCCCAAAGCUGCAUGCUUGGUAGAAUAGAGACGGACCCCGGUCUUCGGUCGAGGGUAUAUGAGUAGCUGCGCUCCCUGCUAGAACCUCCAAACAAGCUCUCAAAGUAAAAGACUCUGGGGUUGAUGGGGUGGAGGAGAAUAGAGGUCCAAAAAUGAUGACAGAGGACCUAGUGGGGGUUGUAUUGU